AGAGUUUGAUCAUGGCUCAGAUUGAACGCUGGCGGUAGGCUUAACACAUGCAAGUCGUGCGAGAAAGUAUCUUCGGAUAUGAGUAGAGCGGCGGACGGGUGAGUAACGCGUAGGAAUCUACCUAGUAGAAGGGGAUAGCCCGGGGAAACUCGGAUUAAUACCGUAUACCUCCUUUGGGAGAAAGAAGGCCUCUCUUUGAAGCUUUCGCUAUUAGAUGAGCCUGCGUAAGAUUAGCUUGUUGGUGAGGUAAAGGCUCACCAAGGCGACGAUCUUAGCGGGUCUGAGAGGACGAUCCGCCACAUUGGGACUGAGACACGGCCCAGACUCUACGGGAGGCAGCAGUGGGGAAUAUUGGACAAUGGGCGCAAGCCUGAUCCAGCCAUACCGCGUGUGUGAAGAAGGCCCUAGGGUUGUAAAGCACUUUAAGUUGGGAAGAAAAGUUAUUGGUUAAUACCCAAUGACCGUGACAUUACCAUCAGAAUAAGGACCGGCUAAUUCCGUGCCAGCAGCCGCGGUAAUACGGAAGGUCCAAGCGUUAAUCGGAAUUACUGGGCGUAAAGCGCGCGUAGGUGGUUUAUUAAGUUGGAUGUGAAAUCCCCGGGCUCAACCUGGGAACUGCAUCCAAAACUGAUUCACUAGAGUACGAUAGAGGGAGGUAGAAUUCACAGUGUAGCGGUGGAAUGCGUAGAUAUUGUGAAGAAUACCAAUGGCGAAGGCAGCCUCCUGGAUCUGUACUGACACUGAGGUGCGAAAGCGUGGGUAGCGAACAGGAUUAGAUACCCUGGUAGUCCACGCCGUAAACGAUGUCAACUAGCUGUUGGGAAACAAUGUUUUUCAGUGGCGCAGCUAACGUAGUAAGUUGACCGCCUGGGGAGUACGGCCGCAAGGCUAAAACUCAAAUGAAUUGACGGGGACCCGCACAAGCGGUGGAGCAUGUGGUUUAAUUCGAUGCAACGCGAAAAACCUUACCUAUACUUGACAUACUUGGAAUGCUUUGUAAUGAAGCAGUGCCUUCGGGAGCCAAGAUACAGGUGCUGCAUGGCUGUCGUCAGCUCGUGUCGUGAGAUGUUCCGUUAAGUCGGAUAACGAGCGCAACCCUUACCCUUAUUUGCCAGCGAUUCGGUCGGGAACUAUAAGGGGACUGCCGGUGAUAAACCGGAGGAAGGUGAGGACGACGUCAAGUCAUCAUGGCCCUUACGUAUAGGGCUACACACGUGCUACAAUGGGGAAUACAG
rnacentral:rRNA from 1 species